GUAGAUGCCAUCGCUUUCUCUGACUCUCAUGAAGACAGCGACCCAUCAUAUCACCCAGCUUCUUCCCUAAAUACAGCUUCUCUUCCGUAAUUUCUGCUCUCCUUUUUUUUUUUAAAGCUAAAUCCAUAAAUAUUUUUCCGGGAUUUUUUCCUUUUUCAUUCAUUCGUCUCUCCAUUAAUCGCUCGCCCGCUCUCUCUCUCUCUCUCUCUCUCUCUCUUCUUUAUAGAAGAUCUUUUUGUUGAAAGAAGCCAUCUACUGAACUGUUAAAGAAGAACACCAGUAAGUUAAGUAUUUUCCUACUUCUAGUAAUGACGAGGUAUGUUUAUAGCUCUAUAAUGUUACUGUAUCUAUCUAGUGAGUUUUAAAGAAAGUGUUAUGUUUAGAUUUCUGCUUAGAAAAAGAUGGAAGACAUAUCAGUCAAUACAAGAUCCUGUGAAAUAUGUCAAUUGAUUGUGAAUAGCUAUGUACGAUCCUGAGUGCUUUGUCUGAUUCUAGAAAACAAGAUGCUUUGUUGGAUCUGAUCGUUUUACCUUUUAUUUGUUCAUUUAGAAUCUACCACAAUGGGAUUUGUUCCAAUUGUAGUAGCCUUUUCAGAAAUUAGGGUUAGGGUUCAUGCAAGCAUUUUCCUGCCUUGGAAAUCUCAAAUCUUUACUGCUUCAAGGUAAGAUCAAGUUUUAGAAUUUACAAAGUGUUCAUUAUGUUUUAGGGUUUGUUUACAUAAAUUAAAUAAAUAAUUUCAUCUCUGUUAGUUUUAAUUAUUUUUUGGCCUUCGCCCUGUAUUUUAAAUCUACGUUUCCUAGCUAAAAUUUGGUAAUUGUUGUUCAUAACCUAAAAUACUAGUCGAUGAAUAAAAUUAGGCGCUCUACAACAAAUCCUUCCUCAGAGGGAGUAAAACUUUAAUAUACCUUGGCCGUCCUAGACAUAAAGACUCCCUUCGAGGAUCAAAGCCCUUGGCCAUCGAUGAAAUUUCUACGAGUUCUAGAAUGGGAUCUUUCAGGGUAAUGCUGGAUUUCCAGAGGGUAAGACAUAUAAUUUUAUAUAGUAGAAGUCAAUUUAAGAAGUGAGUACAUAUUCUAGAUGAAAUCAGUUAAGUGUACCAAUUAGAGUAUCGAUAAUGCAAUACUGAAACAAAAUAACAAGAGGGUUUAUCACCACGUAUUUGUUUAGCAAUUGCUAAUAUUUACAAAUAAGACGUAAACAUUUGAGUUAUAACCUUUUCUUUUGUGUGUGAUAAGCUUGAAUAUACUUCAGAUUUAAAUUCUCAUUAUCAUUCAAUAAAAGCAAAAAAAUUGUUGUUGAAUGUGCAACUCUUGAAAGAAUUAUUUCUGUGUGAACCGAUGAAAACCCUGUGAAUUUUUUGAAUGUGUUAAUGGUUCUUGGGAGCUUCCUUCAGUCCACUUAUGGAAGGGAGAAGGAUUUGAAUUAGCUGCCGACUCAUUCAUUCAAACACAGUAGAAGAAUACGUCUCUGUAAUACUGUGAAUGUGUGAAUGAUUCGGGAGACAAAUUUCAUCCUAUUCUUCUCUGUGAUUGGACUGAAGGGAGCUCCCGUUUACUAAUUUCUUCAUUCUAUUUGGUAAAUUAUUUCACUUUUCCAUUUGGCUAUCACUGACCAUGAACAUUUUAUGUUCUUUCAUCAGGGUAUUGUUCAGUGGUUCUCUUAGAAGGUUUUUUAUAUGUACCUUGCAUAAUUUUCAAGGUUCUCUUAAAUUUAUCGCUAUAUAGGAUUUAAUCGUUAAUAUGUUAUCGUUUUUGUUUUAAGUAAAAUUGUUUCGAAUUUAACUGUUUCGUAAUGUUAUUGAUUGUUUUCCCCCAUCAAUUCCUCCUAGCCUGUCUUCUAUUGUUCUUUUCUGAGCUAGUAGGGCUGUAGGGGUGAACUCGUGGGAGGCGUUAACACCUGAUCCCCCUACAUACGGGAACAUAGAAAUACCGUGUAUUUGGAAAUGUAGAUUCAAGACGAAAUUCACCUACUACUGUAUAAAGAAAAGGUUUGAACUUGCCCCUUGGUUUUUGUCUAGCCUUAAAAAUGUAAUACUACAGUUAAAUGAAAGUUUUUCUUUUCAAUUUAUCUUUUCUUCUCAAUUUUUCAUUCAUCAGUUCUAUAAUCCUUGGAGUGACAUUUUUAUCCUGUUCUUUGUCAAAAUAAUCAGUACAUUCUGCACUUAAAACAGAAAUUUACCAAAGCAAUAUGAUUGGGAAAAUAACAGGAAAUGUAUCUCCAUGUAAUUAUGUAAGAAUAAUUCAUCACAAAAACAGUGGAACUUCGAUUAUUGUAUUUAAGGAAGUCCAUAGGCGUACCUGAGUUUCUACAGUUCUGUCAAGAAACCAUUUCCCUUCACCUCUUGCUUCAAACAACUCCAUCACGACUCUUUAGUGGCCUUCACUCUGUCAGUAUUUGAUUUCUGUCUCAGCAUCCUCAGAUUCAUGGAUUUGCGUCGUUAACAUGUUUUCUCUUUUGCAGGAUGUGUUUCUAAUAAUUUUCAAAAUUUUUUUUUUUUUUUUUUUUAACAAACAAGAGGGAUUCUUAAUGGUCUAUUUCAGACCAGUGACCGUGCUUCACCUUAAAAAAAAUAAAAAAAAAUAAAGGCAGAUCUGAAUACAAAAAGUAUAUUUUAGAAACCAUAGACAUGUUUUGUAUGUUUGUUUAGUAAGAGACCCUAAUGAGUUUGAAAGGCCCGACAAAAUUGUUUAGGCAUGCAUAAUUUGCUUUCCUCUUCUUCUUUCGACACAUUUGGCAUGGAACUAGAAUCUUAUUCACAGAGUUUUGAGUGGACAAAAUUAGAUGGAAUAAUUAAGAAACUUUAUGACUCUCAAAUUUAAUUCAGUUUUGGUUCGGUCUGACGGGGAUAACAAACCGGUCUUAAAACUGAUCGUGUUGUAUCAAUUAUAUUAUACUUAACCUAAUAAUAUUUUUUGGUUAGUACUUGCUUCAUUAAUUCUAUUGGCUUGGCUGCCUAUGGCACGUUGGAACUUGAAGCUAAUUUAUUUUCUAUACCUGUUUGUUGACAUUCGUGAACUUUAGUCUCGAAUAUAACGAACUCCACACGUUUCCAUGUGUGGGACUGUGUAUGUGUAUAUGUAUAUGUGAGUACGUAUCUAUAGAUUACAGUAAUUGUUUAAUCCUAAAUAUAGGGGCAUGAGCCUUCUUCAUUUUCCAACUAAUCAACUGGGUUUAGUUUACCUCGUGUUGUGUUUCAAGUACAGUUUAAACCCUAAAUCCCACGUCUUUUCUUGAGCCAAAGCCAUUUUUAUAGUCCUUAAACAUAGCUUAAAUCGGCAUCUCCAAUUCCACCUCUUUUCUUGAGGCAAUACCAUUAUUAUAGUCCUUAAUGUGUCCUUGUUCUUGUGCAUACGAGUGUUGUGUAUAAAAAAAUGUAGUAUGUGGAUAAAGAAUCUAAACACAAGGUUCUUGUUUUCUUGUAAUUUGAAGUGAUGGGCAAUUUGUAGUUUUCCAAUCUCUUUGGAUUUUGUCUAAGCAAAAAUCUACGUUGAAUCUUUCGUAUCGUGGCUAGAAUACGAGUGGACAAUAUAAUUACAAGAUUUUUACAUCUUUCUUUUCUGCUUCCACUAAAUAUCCCUUCUUGUCUAGUUUUGUUUACCGAAUAAGUGGAACAUUUAUGAAGCUAUGAGGGUUGAGUUGCCUCGCCUGGUUUUUCAGGUAGCAUUUAUCGCACAAAGUUGGAUUAAUUUAUUGGGAAGCGCGUGGGAUAACGUACUGAAUUUCGUAGCUAGGAAAGCCGUCUACCCUCUCUCUACAAUUGAAAUUCACCUACUGUGAACAAACUGCAUGGGAAAAGACUUGCUCCGCACCACAGGUUAAGCUUGACCAUCACGUUCAUUGCACGAAUGGAUCUUCUAAAGUACGUAAUUGGGAAGUUCCCUUUUUAUAAACAAAAGAGGAUGCUGGUGUAGGAAAAGAGCAGCAGAAGAGCUACUAAAGCUAACACGGGACGAAGAAACUAUUAAUUUAAAGUUGAAUGAAUUCCUUGAGACCCCAUUCCAAUCUUAGGGUUUGAUUUUGGGCCUAUUGAAUAAUGUUAUUUGUACCAAAGGAGUUAACGGUUUAUAUACAAAUGAGAUGUCAAGAAAAUGAGGAUUUUUAUUUUUUUUGGAAGAAAUUCUGUUUCAAUUAUAUUUUACUGCAUUAUGUGUAUAUGAACCAUUAUUGUUGGUCUUAGAAUUGUAUUCACAAAAUACUUACAAUGAUAAUUUGUAAAUAUUAUAGUUUUUGCAGAAAAAUAAAAAGAGCACGAAU
rnacentral:lncRNA from 1 species